rnacentral:rRNA from 1 species
CAGCAGCCGCGGGAAUACAGAAGAUGCAAGCGUUAUCCGGAAUGAUUGGGCGUAAAGCGUCUGUAGGUGGCUUUUCAAGUCCGCCGUCAAAUCCCAGGGCUCAACCCUGGACAGGCGGUGGAAACUACCAAGCUGGAGUACGGUAGGGGCAGAGGGAAUUUCCGGUGGAGCGGUGAAACGCGUUGAGAUCGGAAAGAACACCAACGGUGAAAGCACUCUGCUGGGCCGACACUGACACUGAGAGACGAAAGCUAGGGGAGCAAAUGGGAUUAGAUACCCCAGUAGUCCCUGUCUCUUAUAC